rnacentral:rRNA from 1 species
GACGGAGGGAGCAAGCGUUGUCCGGAUUUACUGGGCGUAAAGCGCGCGUAGGCGGAUUUUUAAGUCGGCGGUGAAAGCGCUGGGCUCAACUCAGCAACUGCCGUCGAUACUGAUCGGCUCGAGUCCGGGAGAGGGGAGCGGAAUUCCUGGUGUAGAGGUGGAAUGCGUAGAUAUCAGGAAGAACACCGGUGGCGAAGGCGGCUUCCUGGACCGGCACUGACGCUGAGGCGCGAAAGCUAGGGGAGCGAACGGG